UACAGAGGUCCCAAGCGUUGUUCGGAUUCAUUGGGCGUAAAGGGUGCGUAGGUGGCGCCGUAAGUCGGGUGUGAAAUUUCGGAGCUUAACUCCGAAACUGCAUUCGAUACUGCGGUGCUUGAGGACUGGAGAGGAGACUGGAAUUCAUGGUGUAGCAGUGAAAUGCGUAGAGAUCAUGAGGAAGACCAGUGGCGAAGGCGGGUCUCUGGACAGUUCCUGACACUGAGGAGCGAAAGCCAGGGGAGCAAACGGG
rnacentral:rRNA from 1 species